UGUACACUAUUUACUACUGGGUUGUUUCUGCUAGGCCGUGUGAAGGUAUGGGACAGUCUCAUGUGACAUAAUCAAGAUUUCGUAUUCCAACACCUUCUGAGUAAGUUAAGCACCUAGAGAAAAUAACAACCAAGGAGAAGGCACUUUUCCACAGUGAACUCUUCUCAAGCUCCCCUUACAGUCUGCUCAGCUGAGGUCGAGGAGUUUUACAGUCAGACUAAAGCAAACAUUUAAAACAGAUCUACUUCCGUUCCUUGGUUCACAUGACAGCUUUUUCUUACCUGUACACCUAGGAGUAUGUGGUAGCCAUGACAGUGAAAACAGGCCAUGUAAAUCAAGACAACGUAAACCUGAAUUUUUUCAUCUUUCCAUUUACGAAAAUAAGAUUCCCCAAUUCAUCUUUUUAUGUGUUUCCUAGAUGAACAGCCAGUGAGGCCAGAGACAGUGGCUAUCCUGUUCACCACUGUCACCAGGAACAAAACAAAGACCCCUGAGGGAGACUCACCUGUACAGCUCCAAAAACUCUGGAUAGGGGUUUACGGGAUCCAGUGGCCCAUAGAUAAAAUGAACUAGGAAAGAGAAGAGGAAUGAAUUACUAAAGGUCUCAAAUGUAUUCUCCUACCCCUUCAAAAAAAUUGUUUUUCCAGUCUUCAUCGAGAAAUAAUGGGCAUACGUCACUAUCAUUUAACGUGGCAGCCGCUGACAAGGCCCAGCACGAGAGCCGGCCCAACUCCCACUCCUGACAGUGACCCCAACUACCUCUGCAGUGGCAUCUCCCUGUUUUCCACACUUCACUCUACAACUCAUGUCACUGGUGUCCAGAUGCUGGGAGUAGGGCCUGCCAGAUUAAAUAAGAGAUGCCCAGUUAAAUGUAAUUUCAGGUAAGAAAUGAUGAUUUUGGGGGGAGGGGGGUAUAAAGAUGUCAAAAUACUGCAAAGCACAUACUUAUUCUAAAAAAGUACUUGCCGUUUAUAUGAAAUUCAAAUUUAGCUGGGUGUCUUGUAUUUGUAUUUGCUAAAUCUGGCAAUUAUUUUAGCUCCACAGUCCCUCAGUAUUCCUAUCAAAACGUAAUACAGAAAUACUCACUGGGAAUAGUUACAGAAGCAAGAGCUCCCACCCAGCGUCUUCUAAACUUCUUCCUCUGGUUGAUGUACUGUAAGAGACUACAGGACAGGUAAGUCAGCAAGAGUAGGACAAGACAUCUUUACUGUUACAGGAAUGCAAAGGCAUCCUAAAAUGAAAGCCGCCACAUUCUCACUUGAACCGCGGCCUGAGGAUGCUUUGUACAAGACAGAGAGCUCUCCCUCCCAGUCCCUGCUGCAAUGGGAAAGACACGAAAAAGGAAGAGACUUGUACUUUGAGAGCGCGGGACUUUCUCGUUUGCCUCACAGACCAUAACGGACCCCCUCGUGAGAGGGAACAAGCUAGCAAGGAAGAGAAGGAGGAAUCCUACAGCUUUCCCCACUUUCCAAAAACAGAGCUUCUCUGGAAACCAAAACAAAGUGUUCUUUCUUACCUGUCGA